rnacentral:rRNA from 1 species
CCUACGGGGAGCAGCAGUGGGGAAUAUUGGACAAUGGGGGCAACCCUGAUCCAGCCAUGCCGCGUGUGUGAAGAAGGCCCUCGGGUUGUAAAGCACUUUCAGUGAGGAAGAACGCCUGGUGGUUAAUACCCAUCAGGAAAGACAUCACUCACAGAAGAAGCACCGGCUAACUCCGUGCCAGCAGCCGCGGUAAUACGGAGGGUGCGAGCGUUAAUCGGAAUUACUGGGCGUAAAGCGCGCGUAGGUGGCUUGAUAAGCCGGUUGUGAAAGCCCCGGGCUCAACCUGGGAACGGCAUCCGGAACUGUCAAGCUAGAGUGCAGGAGAGGAAGGUAGAAUUCCCGGUGUAGCGGUGAAAUGCGUAGAGAUCGGGAGGAAUACCAGUGGCGAAGGCGGCCUUCUGGACUGACACUGACACUGAGGUGCGAAAGCGUGGGUAGCAAACAGGAUUAGAUACCCCGAGUAGUC